rnacentral:rRNA from 1 species
GACGAACGCUGGCGGCGUGCCUAAUACAUGCAAGUAGAACGCUGAAGCUUGGUGCUUGCACCGAGCGGAUGAGUUGCGAACGGGUGAGUAACGCGUAGGUAACCUGCCUGGUAGCGGGGGAUAACUAUUGGAAACGAUAGCUAAUACCGCAUAAGAGUAGAUGUUGCAUGACAUUUGCUUAAAAGGUGCAAUUGCAUCACUACCAGAUGGACCUGCGUUGUAUUAGCUAGUUGGUGAGGUAACGGCUCACCAAGGCGACGAUACAUAGCCGACCUGAGAGGGUGAUCGGCCACACUGGGACUGAGACACGGCCCAGACUCCUACGGGAGGCAGCAGUAGGGAAUCUUCGGCAAUGGACGGAAGUCUGACCGAGCAACGCCGCGUGAGUGAAGAAGGUUUUCGGAUCGUAAAGCUCUGUUGUAAGAGAAGAAACGAGUGUGAGAAGUGGAAAGUUC